rnacentral:tRNA from 1 species
CGUAGUUCAGUUGGUUAGAGCGUCAGAUUGUGGUUCUGAAUGUCGUGGGUUCGAGUCCCACC